rnacentral:rRNA from 1 species
AACGAACGCUGGCGGCAUGCCUAACACAUGCAAGUCGAACGAGACCUUCGGGUCUAGUGGCGCACGGGUGCGUAACGCGUGGGAACCUUCCCUUAGGUUCGGAAUAACUCCCCGAAAGGGGUGCUAAUACCGGGUAAUUUCUGCGGACCAAAGAUUUAUCGCCUUUGGAUGGGCCCGCGUUGGUUUAGCUUGUUGGUAGGGUAAAAGCCUACCAAGGAGACGAUCCAUAGCUGGUCUGAGAGGCUGAUCAGCCACACUGGGACUGAGACACGGCCCAGACUCUUACGGGAGGCAGCAGUGGGGAAUCUUGGACAAUCGGCGAAAGCCUGAUCCAGCAAUGCCGCGUGAGUGAUGAAGGCCUUAGGGUUGUACAGCUCUUUUACCCGCGAUGAUAAUGACAGUACCGGGAGAAUAAGCUCCGGCUAACUCCGUG